UAGGGAAUCUUCGGCAAUGGACGGAAGUCUGACCGAGCAACGCCGCGUGAGUGAAGAAGGUUUUCGGAUCGUAAAGCUCUGUUGUAAGUCAAGAACGAGUGUGAGAGUGGAAAGUUCACACUGUGACGGUAGCUUACCAGAAAGGGACGGCUAACUACGUGCCAGCAGCCGCGGUAAUACGUAGGUCCCGAGCGUUGUCCGGAUUUAUUGGGCGUAAAGCGAGCGCAGGCGGUUUGAUAAGUCUGAAGUUAAAGGCUGUGGCUCAACCAUAGUUCGCUUUGGAAACUGUCAAACUUGAGUGCAGAAGGGGAGAGUGGAAUUCCAUGUGUAGCGGUGAAAUGCGUAGAUAUAUGGAGGAACACCGGUGGCGAAAGCGGCUCUCUGGUCUGUAACUGACGCUGAGGCUCGAAAGCGUGGGGAGCGAACAGGAUUAGAUACCCUGGUAGUCCACGCCGUAAACGAUGAGUGCUAGGUGUUGGAUCCUUUCCGGGAUUCAGUGCCGCAGCUAACGCAUUAAGCACUCCGCCUGGGGAGUACGACCGCAAGGUUG
rnacentral:rRNA from 1 species